GGGUUGGUAGCUCAAUCGGUAGAGUAGCGGACUUUUAAUCCGUUGGUCGCGAGUUCGAACCUCGCCCGACCCA
rnacentral:tRNA from 1 species